GGAGACAAGGGACUGCCGCCCGGCGCCAGGGGCGGCCAGCCGAGCGCCGAGCGCCUCCAACGGGGAGUGGGGGCGGGGCAGGAGGCGAUGCCCGCAGAUACUCACAUGACUGUGGAAGACCACUGUCAGCCACAUGCUGCCUGCAGACCACAGUUCCCUGCUAUACCUGAAGAUUCCAAGAUGAUUUGACAUUGUCUGGAAUGAGACCUGGAUCAAAACCCUGAUAUCUGCCUUUCCAUGAAAAGUCCGUUUUGCUUUGCACAGGCAUUCUACUCUCUGCACAUUACAACACCUGUAUGUCACCAGCUAUCAAACUGCCCUCUGAGAAAUAAAUGCAUUUUAGAAGGUUAUGGAAAUUCUUAUGGAUGAAGUGACUAGAAUGUUACAGUGGACUUCAGGUAAAAUAAACACUGGGUGGCAA